ensembl:lncRNA
AUUUCUAGGGUGCGGCUGCUCUUGAGUGUAGGGUAAUUACGGUACCGGGCAUGCGCAGUGUUCUCAAAUAUUAAAAGCAGUGCUGGAGGAGGCGAGAAGGGAACUGGCAGGGAGAGAGAGAGGGCAGAAGUUGGAUGGCGCUAUCCUUUGUCGCCGUAUUUCGGCACACAAACAGCUGCCGAGCGUCUCCGUGAUCCGUGAAAUUACACCUUCUGCCGCUGUUUCACGCCGUGGUGGCUCCUCGGUGUCAUCCGACAAACGAUCUGCAGCCCCGCGGGCAGGAUGAUGGAGGAAUCGGUGACCACAUUUGAGACGCAUCUGACCGCCGUCAUGGACAGCCUGAUCCGCGCCUCGGUGUGCGAGAUCACCAAACUCUUCCAGGAGACGGUGAACGACUACCUGGUGGAGCUGUCCCUCAACAGGAAGGAGAACGAGGCUCUCAAACUGCGGCUGAGGCUCACCGAGAGCAAACUGAGAACCGAGCGCAAGUACGGCAUGGGCUGGGCUGCCAACCGCCGCAACGCCGGGCUGGUGGCGGCAGCAGCACCGGAGGAGGAAGCUGGAGGCCGGCAGAAGAGAAAACUUGACGUGACUCGAGGCAAGUCAAAAAAGGGCCCAGCAGCAGCCUAUGGCAAAACGUGGCCUGGAGGUGUGUGGGAGGAAGGAGGAGGAGGAGGAGGUGGUGGCGGCGCUGGUGGUGGUGGAGGAGGAGGAGGAGGAGGAGGAUCAGGAGGAAGUGGAGCAGCUGUGGGCAUGGUAGCAGGAGCGGGAGGAAGAGGGGGGAAGGAGGCCAAAGAUAUGUACCUCAUCCAGUUCCCCCGGGAUGAAGAAGACGAGGGAGGGAUGGUGGAGGAAGAGGAAAGGGAGGGCAGCCUCAGCGGUGAGGGGGAGGAGAAGGCCAACAUCAAAGAGGAGGUGAGGGAGACAGGCUUUCUCAGAGGAGGAGUAGGAGGAGAAAGUGGCACAGCAUCUCUGCUCUGCUCUGCCUGCAGCUUCAUAAAGACUGAGAGAGCGUGUAGACACAG